rnacentral:rRNA from 1 species
AGGAUGAACGCUGGCGGCGUGCUUAACACAUGCAAGUCGAACGAUGAAGGCUGGAGCUUGCUCUGGCUGGAUUAGUGGCGAACGGGUGAGUAACACGUGAGUAACCUGCCCCAGACUCUGGGAUAAGCGCUGGAAACGGCGUCUAAUACCGGAUACGAGCUUCCACCGCAUGGUGAGGAGCUGGAAA